GACGAACGCUGGCGGCGUGCUUAACACAUGCAAGUCGAACGAAAAGAGGGGAAGUGCUUGCUCUUUCCGGGAUUGAGUGGCAAACGGGUGAGUAACACGUAAACAACCUGCCUUCAGGAUGGGGACAACAGACGGAAACGACUGCGAAUACCGAAUAAGUGCCAAGGGCGGCAGGGCCCGUGGUGGAAAAGGUGGCCUCUACGUGUAAGCUAUCGCCUGCAGAGGGGUUGGCGUCUGAUUGGCUGGUUGGCGGGGUAACGGCCCACCAAAGGGACGACCGGUAACCGGUCCGAGAGGAUGGACGGCCACCCUGGCACUGGGACCCGGUCCAGACCCCUGAGGGAGGCAGCAGUGGGGAAUCGUCCGUAAUGGGCGAAGGCCUGACGGCGCAACGCCGCGCGAGUGAUGACGGCCUUCGGGUUGUGAAACUCUGUCUUCCGGGACGAAAAGGCAGAGUGCGAAGAACAAACUGCAUUGACGGUACCGGAAAAGCAAGCCACGGCUAACUACGUG
rnacentral:rRNA from 1 species